CGGAUUAAGACACCAAUCCAGCCACAAAAUCUUUGACCUAUAAUUUGUCCUGUCUGCAUGAUAUGCUGUGGUAAAGAGUCGAUUUGCAACCCUCAGCAAGGCAAGGUUUUUAUUACUUCAUUAAACAUUCUUUCCAGGAUAUUUAUAUCUGGAU